UCAUGUCUGGGAAACUGCCUGAUGGAGGGGGAUAACUACUGGAAACGGUGCUAAGACCGCAUAACGUCGCAAGACCAAGGAGGGGGACCUUCGGGCCUCUUGCCAUCGGAUGUGCCCAGAUCGGAUUAGCUAGUAGGUGGGGUAACGGCUCACCUAGGCCACGAUCCCUAGCUGGUCUGAGAGGAUGACCAGCCACACUGGAACUGAGACACGGUCCAGACUCCUACGGGAGGCAGCAGUGGGGAAUAUUGCACAAUGGGCGCAGGCCUGAUGCAGCCCUGCCGCGUGUAUGAAGAAGGCCUUCGGGUUGUAAAGUACUUUCAGCGGGGAGGAAGGCGACAGGGUUAAUAACCCUGUCGAUUGACGUUACCCGCAGAAGAAGCACCGGCUAACUCCGUGCCAGCAGCCGCGGUAAUACGGAGGGUGCAAGCGUUAAUCGGAAUUACUGGGCGUAGAGCGCACGCAGGCGGUCUGUCAAGUCGGAUGUGAAAUCCCCGGGCUCAACCUGGGAACUGCAUUCGAAACUGGCAGGCUAGAGUCUUGUAGAGGGGGGUAGAAUUCCAGGUGUAGCGUGAAAUGCGUAGAGAUCUGGAGGAUUACCGGUCGCGAAUGCGCCCCCUGGACAAGACUGACGCUUAAGUGCGAAAGCGUGAAGGAGCAGACAUGAUUAGAUACCCUGGUACGUCCACGCCUAAACCAUGUCGACUUGGAGUUGUGCCUUUGAAGGCUUGGCCUCCUGAGCU
rnacentral:rRNA from 1 species